GAUGAAGAACGCAGCGAAAUGCGAUAAGUAAUGUGAAUUGCAGAAUUCAGUGAAUCAUCGAAUCUUUGAACGCACAUUGCGCCCUUUGGUAUUCCGAAGGGCAUGCCUGUUCGAGCGUCAUUAUCACCCCUCAAGCCCUCGGCUUGGUGUUGGACGGUUUGGUGGAGGCCCCCUCGGGGGCUCCUGCCCCUCCCAAAGACAAUGACGGCGGCCUCGUUGGACCCCCGGUACACUGAGUUCUUCACGGGACACGUAUCGGACACAUGGGUUUACGGGACACGGUCUGCCUUCCCUCAGGGAGAAUCUUUCUAAGGUUGACCUCGGAUCAGGUAGGGAUACCCGCUGAACUUAAGCAUAUCAAUAAGCGGAGGA
rnacentral:misc_RNA from 1 species